rnacentral:rRNA from 1 species
CAGCAGCCACGGUAAUACGAAGUGGGCUAGCGUUGCUCGGAAUGACUGGGCGUAAAGGGCGCGUAGGCGGCGAUCAAAGUCAGGCGUGAAAUUCCUGGGCUCAACCUGGGGGCUGCGCUUGAUACUUGGUUGCUUGAGUGGGGAAGAGGGUCGUGGAAUUCCCAGUGUAGAGGUGAAAUUCGUAGAUAUUGGGAAGAACACCGGUGGCGAAGGCGGCGACCUGGUCCUUUACUGACGCUGAGGCGCGAAAGCGUGGGGAGCAAACAGGAUUAGAUACCCCUGUAGUCCCUGUCUCUUAUAC